GCCAGUGUGAUGUAAUGGAUUGAACGUUGGACUAUGAUCCUGGAGUCCUGGGUUCAAUUCCCUGCUCAGCCA